CGGGGAGGGGUUUAGUGGGUAGGCGUCGACUCGUCGGCAGUGUACCGAUGUGGUCGAUGAAUCCCACACUGCUCAGGUGCCAAUCUGAUCGGUAUGGUUGCCCGAGCGUCUUGCGAAGAUUCCCCUCCUCG
rfam:Anopheles maculatus strain maculatus3 cont1.12908, whole genome shotgun sequence.